GAUGAACGCUGGCGGCGUGCCUAAUACAUGCAAGUCGAGCGAACGGACGAGAAGCUUGCUUCUCUGAUGUUAGCGGCGGACGGGUGAGUAACACGUGGAUAACCUACCUAUAAGACUGGGAUAAUUUCGGGAAACCGGAGCUAAUACCGGAUAAUAUUUUGAACCGCAUGGUUCAAAAGUGAAAGACGGUCUUGCUGUCACUUAUAGAUGGAUCCGCGCUGCAUUAGCUAGUUGGUAAGGUAACGGCUUACCAAGGCAACGAUGCAUAGCCGACCUGAGAGGGUGAUCGGCCACACUGGAACUGAGACACGGUCCAGACUCCUACGGGAGGCAGCAGUAGGGAAUCUUCCGCAAUGGGCGAAAGCCUGACGGAGCAACGCCGCGUGAGUGAUGAAGGUCUUCGGAUCGUAAAACUCUGUUAUUGGGGAAGAACAUAUGUGUAAGUAACUGUGCACAUCUUGACGGUACCUAAUCAGAAAGCCACGGCUAACUACGUG
rnacentral:rRNA from 1 species